UUUUAUUAUAGUUUUCAUCAACAGAUUAGCCCCUUUGGAACCAUCGAUACUCGAGAAUCGAGAUUCACAGACAUUUUAUGGCCCUCAUAAAAGAAUCUAUUUGGUGUUUUCCGACUUGGGCCUACGGAGCCUGAAGCAAAAGUCGAACAAAGAGAUGUAUCCUCUGCAGCCAGGAAUUUGACAACGGCUAGGAACAAUGUAAAGCUGGUCCGUUUCCAGAGCCGAAUCUGUUAUUCGAUAGACACGUGGGCUAGCUCAAAAUACGGAAGACCAAGUCCAUUGGUUAUAUCUGCUUAUAUCUGAACACGAGUUCUAGGAAUGGGGCUGUUUCUGCUAUUUAAUGCAUACUGCAUGCUGCGAGCUAUACGAAGAACACCAUUGUGUUAACGCGCACAUUGUUAUAUAACACCGUCAAACUUUUUGAUUACACACGUUUAACCGUAAGUCAAUUAUUGUUGUUCGUAAUCGCCAUGUGUGUAUUAUCGUCAGCGUCGUCUCGACUCGAUUUAUCGACUCAAUAUUUAUUUUUGACUAUUAUCUUGGUCCGAAAUGUUGUCAUAAAGAAUCUUGAAAAACGGAAGGAAUGUGGUCAACGGAAAAAAAAUACAAUUGAUUCAAGGUUGAGAAACGGCUUAUUUCAUACAAAGAGAUGCAAGUAAAACGGUAUCGAAAUGAAAAAAAGUGUAAGAAGAAAUAACUAUUCUUUUUUCUGAUUUAUUUUUGUUGAGCCAAAGAUUCUUCGUGCAAUGCAUUUAUGGUGCACGCAAACGAAAUAAAUGACAUAGGUAAUACACGUGAUUCAAUUUUCUAAUAUUUAUUACUCUCAGUUCACGUUUCGUUGAAUCGUUUUUGAGUCACGUUCUUGCAUUUUUUUUUUCACAUCUAAAAUGCACCCCAAUUUCUUUUUCUUUCAGUAUCAA